rnacentral:ncRNA from 2 species
UGAAUACGAAAAGAAACUGGUGCAAACUUUGCUUAAUAGGGAAUCAGGUGAGAUGCCUGAACUGUCCCCGCAACUGUAAGUGCAGACAAUACCUGCUUUUAGACCACUGUCAGAAUUCAGACGGGAAGGUGCAGGCUUGAGGAUGAAGCACGAGUCAGUAGACCUGCCGGGAUCUUUCGAACGUU